rnacentral:lncRNA from 1 species
AAACUUAGGCCCGUAUUUAUAGUCGAGUCUCAAGACAGCGUCGAUGCUCAAGACCGACCUUGAACCAACUUUGUGUUUUAUAAACCGAUCUCGAGACCCGACGCAGUCUUGGGAAGUGUAAAAUGACAGGCGAAUCUCAAGUCAUCGAUCGACCUUCCUCAAGACCGCGAUUCUAACCUAACUUUGUUUGUUAUUGUUUGAAUUUUGAAUAUUUUUAAUUCAGUUCCAACAUAUAUUUUUUGUUUUUCUAAUUACAAUAAAAAUGUAUGAAGAAGUAAAAGCAUUUUUAGAGUUUAUUGAUAAUAUUGGAGAAGAAAAUCGCCCAGGAAGUAUACAAAAGCGAUAUAUUCAAGAUAAAAAUAUAAUCUAAAAUACAAUGGAGUAUUACAAUAUUGAAAUUCAUCAGCGAAUCAGCGCAUUAACUUAAACAACAAAGGUUUUAUGCUACUUAUAGGAAUAUAACCAGUUUUUAUAAGGAAGCCCACUUUCCAAAAAUGUACAGGUACUAGAAGAGAAAUUAUGUAUAUUAUUGUAUUGUUCAACAACAAGGUUAUCAAGUCAUUCAAUAUUUGAUCUAAGAGCAUUAAGAGUGAAAUUGUGAAAUGGAAAGAAGUGAAAUUCCAGGAUUAUUAAUAGGAAUAGAUGACAGUAGUGGGUAUGCAUACAGACACUAUCUUUUUACCCCAGUAUUACAGCCAGGUAAUGAUCAAGAAAAUAAGAUAUUUUUACCAUAGUACUCAUGUGAGAACAAGAAAUGUAGAAAAGCUAUUUGGAACCUGGAAAAGAGAGUUUCCUUGUCUUCAACAAGGUCUACAAACCAAAUUAUAUACAUGUCUUGCAAUAAUAUGUGCUACAGCAGUACCUUAUAAUCUAGGUAAAUAAUGAUCUGAUGGUAAAUAGACAUGUUAAUGAUGUGGAACAAUCUCUAAAUUUUUGGUGACAUUUUUUUCAACAAUGUUUUGCAUGAGAAUACAUUAUUGAAUACCUACUCUUAUUGUGUUUGAUUUUUUUGUCGUAUUAUUUCUCAAAAUGUCAUCAUGAUCAUUGUUCGACAACCCUUUUUGUUUGAGUUUUGGUCUCUUGAGGAAUACAGCUCCAUUCCAGUCUAUUUAAGGAUUUCUUCUUACAAUUUUUUAUUUUUAAAAUAUCAAUGUCUUAUUCUAUUUGUUCCUUAUAUCUAAUCUAUAGUCUUUCUCUCGUUAUAUGUCCAGCUGACAUUUGUUUGUUUAUUUUGGAAAGUAUUUCAUAUGCUUCCAUCCUUCCUCUUAGAAUGUGGUCCUAUUUUGAUGAAUGUAUAUGGAUCGUGGUAUGCCCUGAAUAGUUCAAAAUUAUAUUAAAUAUGCUUCCAUCCUUCCUCUUAGAACGUGGUCCUAUUUUGAUGAAUGUAUAUGGAUCGUGGUAUGCCCUGUAUAGUUCAAAAUUAUAUCUUCUCUGGUCUUCAUAUUUUAGAUGCUAUUUAGCCUGAUUCUAGUGCUUUAUCGUUAUUUCCAGUGCUUUAUCAAUUUAUCAUCAUUUAUUUUACCUACCUGUCUACUGCUACUCUACUAUUGCACUUUCACCAUAUAUUUUUGGAAUAUAAAUAUAUAGUAACCUUCUAUCUUUCUCUUGUUCAACUGGAAUUUGUUUAUUUAUUCUGAGAAUACAUUAUUGAAUCUGUAUUAUGUUAAAUAUAUUAUUUUUUAUUUUAUUUCUUAAUAUGUAUUUUUUAUAUUUUAUUUUAAAAUAAAUGAGUAUGAGUUUCCCUCUUCUUAAAUAAGUAUUUAUUUGACAAACCUUUCCUUACCAAAUAUAAAAUUAAUUACACAUCUGGACCUCGGAGGUAAACUACACUAUGUCAUUUCGAGCAACUGUGUUUAGCAUGUGUUUGCAACAAAGUUUAGAGCACUUAGGAUGUUAAUAAAAAUCUGAUAUAUCCCAUAAUUAGUUGAAAGACAAUAUGACUAUAUUUUAAUGAUAAUAUAUAACCAAUGUGUAUAAUCCAACUAAUAAAAAAACACCAUGUCGACAUAGUGUAGAU